rnacentral:rRNA from 1 species
UACGGGGGGGGGUAAGCGUUGUUCGGAAUUACUGGGCGUAAAGGGCUCGUAGGCGGCCAACUAAGUCAGACGUGAAAUCCCUCAGCUUAACUGGGGAACUGCGUCUGAUACUGGAUGGCUUGGAUCCGGGAGAGGGAUGCGGAAUUCCAGGUGUAGCGGUGAAAUGCGUAGAUAUCUGGAGGAACACCGGUGGCGAAGGCGGCUUCCUGGACCGACACUGACGCUGAGGCGCGAAAGCUAGGGGAGCAAACGGG